rfam:Paramecium tetraurelia chromosome undetermined scaffold_41, whole genome shotgun sequence.
GCCCUUGUAGCUCAGUUGGUUAGAGCGCGAGUCUCAUAAUCUCGAGGUCGUGGGAUCGACCCCCACCAAAGGCA